rnacentral:rRNA from 1 species
CUGAUGCAGCCAUGCCGCGUGUAUGAUGAAGGCCUUCGGGUUGUAAAGUACUUUCGGUAACGAGGAAGGUGGUGUAUCUCAUAGGUGCAUCACUUGACGUUUAUUACACAACAACCACCGGCUAACUCCGUGCCAUCAGCCGCGGUAAUACGGAGGGUGCGAGCGUUAAUCGGAAUGACUGGGCGUAUAGGGCAUGUAAGCGGAUAAUUAAGUUAGGUGUGAAAGCCCUGGGCUCAACCUAUGAAUUGCACUUAAAACUGGUUAACUUCAGUAUUGUAAAGGAAGGUACAAUUCCACGUGUAGCAGUGAAAUGCGUAAAGAUGUGGAGGAAUACCGGUGGCGAAGGCGGCCUUCUGGACCGAUACUGACGCUCAGAUGCAAAAGCUGGGGGAGCACACAGGAUUAGAUAC